rnacentral:rRNA from 1 species
AUCCUACGGGACGCAGCAGUAGGGAAUCUUCCACAAUGGACGAAAGUCUGAUGGAGCAACGCCGCGUGAGUGAAGAAGGGUUUCGGCUCGUAAAGCUCUGUUGGUAGUGAAGAAAGAUAGAGGUAGUAACUGGCCUUUAUUUGACGGUAAUUACUUAGAAAGUCACGGCUAACUACGUGCCAGCAGCCGCGGUAAUACGUAGGUGGCAAGCGUUGUCCGGAUUUAUUGGGCGUAAAGCGAGUGCAGGCGGUUCCAUAAGUCUGUUGUGAAAGUCCUCGGCUCAACCGGGGAAUUGCAUCAGAAAA